AUUGAACGCUGGCGGCAUGCCUUACACAUGCAAGUCGAACGGUAACGGGCCUUCGGGUGCCGACGAGUGGCGAACGGGUGAGUAAUACAUCGGAACGUGCCCGCUCGUGGGGGAUAACGAGGCGAAAGCUUUGCUAAUACCUCAUACGAUCUACGGAUGAAAGCAGGGGACCGCAAGGCCUUGCGCGGACGGAGCGGCCGAUGGCAGAUUAGGUAGUUGGUGGGAUAAAAGCUUACCAAGCCGACGAUCUGUAGCUGGUCUGAGAGGAUGAUCAGCCACACUGGGACUGAGACACGGCCCAGACUCCUACGGGAGGCAGCAGUGGGGAAUUUUGGACAAUGGGCGCAAGCCUGAUCCAGCCAUGCCGCGUGCAGGAUGAAGGCCUUCGGGUUGUAAACUGCUUUUGUACGGAACGAAAAGCCUUCUUUUAAUACAGGAGGGUCAUGACGGUACCGUAAGAAUAAGUACCGGCUAACUACGUG
rnacentral:rRNA from 1 species